GCGCCCCGAGAGCAAUGCUCGACCAGGGACCUUUACUCCGGCAACCACACUCUACUAAGCCUAGAGAGCGAUGCUCGACCAGGGCAGGUCCUAAUCUUUCUUUCUCAAAAUUUUUACCUCUUUACCCUUUUCUUAUCUCUCUCAUAUUAUAUUGGACACUCAUCCAACUCCUAUGUUCUACUGCCGUCCCAUCCUGAGUCAUCAUGCAAU
rnacentral:lncRNA from 1 species